CUUGGGUUGAAUAAUUUGGGGAAUGCUCUACCUCUUCUAAACAACGGCCAGCCAAAAAUAAUGGGAUCCAUUUCAUCAAUGUCAAAUAAAAUUAGGAAAAAAGUCAUUUAGGCAACAUUUAGUGUCCAACUUCAAAAGCAUCACCGCAUCUGUACUAUCAUUUAUGUUGCACUUACAGAAGGGGGGGGACUGUUUUACUUUGAACUGAAGUCUUGAGGAGAGAGACAGCUAACCAAAAAGAGACUAUAAACCAACAUGAGCUUUAAAGAGGAACACAGGGGAAGCAUGUUUUGCUGGCACCGUGGAGCCUGGAAGUAUUUUGCUCCCUGCAAAGAGGAGAAGCUUGAAAGCUCUGUACUCAAUUACCAAGCAUGAAUUUAUGGGAUCAAUGCACAGUUAACACGUUCCUCUCAAAAACUGCUACUGUAUUAUCUAAGAGUGACAUGGCUAUAUUUAGAGGGCUUCUCCAGCAGGAGUUGUAUCUGGAAGAUUACCAAACAAUAGGGAGGGUAAUGUAAGAAUCCA